rnacentral:rRNA from 1 species
GAUGAACGUUGGCGGCGUGGAUUAGGCAUGCAAGUCGAGCGAGAACCGUAGCAAUACGGGGACAGCGGCGAAAGGGACAGUAAUGUGUAGGUACCUACCUCCGGGUUCGGGAUAGCUGCGGGAAACUGCAGGUAAUACCGAAUAACGUCUCCGGACCAAAGGUGUGAUUCCACCUAGAGAGGGGCCUGCAUCCUAUUAGCUUGUUGGCGGGGUAACGGCCCACCAAGGCGACGAUGGGUAGCGGGUGUGAGAGCACGACCCGCGUCAUUGGGACUGAGACACUGCCCAGAAACCUACGGGGGGCUGCAGUCGUGAAUCUUCGGCAAUGGGCGCAAGCCUGACCGAGCGACGCCGCGUGCGGGAUGAAGGCCUUCGGGUUGUAAACCGCUGUCGUAGAGGAGGAAAUGCAGGGGGGUUCUCCCCUCUGUUUGACCUAUUCUAGGAGGAAGUACGGGCUAAGUUCGUGCCAGCAGCCGCCGUAA